ACAUGUGGCCAUAUCACCCUGAACAUGCUUGAUCUCGUCUGAUCUCAGUGGCUGAGCAGAGUUGGGGCUGGUUAGUAUUUGGAUGGGAGACCACCUGGGAAUGCCAGUUGCUGUAAGCG
ensembl:rRNA 5S_rRNA 5S ribosomal RNA